ensembl:lncRNA
UGGUCCUUGAUGCAGCCAGGCAGAGACGUGACAGACUGGUCAGCUGGACGUAAGGAAAAGCUGAGUCGCUCCCUCUCCCUCUCACUAAGUGGAUUUAACCCAUCAGCGAAUGGUCUGACUGGAGUGUGACUGUGAUAAUAAAGGACUCAGGCACACAGCGUUAUAGUUGCAAUCUGUUUCUACAGCAGCUUUCCAGCUGCUCUCCUCCAGCUCCACACCACACUCUCUGCUCUGAUCCCAGCGACGUACUCAAAAGGGGAAACAUGAUCAGAUGAUGGAGGUCAGGUGUAUUGAGUCAGCCUCCUCUGACACCACAGCCUGAACCAACUGCUCCACCCCUUCCCUGGUAGCUGAGCCACAAACCACACUGUGCCACAGUGACGGUUAACUUUAGUAAUAACAAAACAAUUGAUGGUG